GGGUGUUUGCAUCUGUAUGCUGACCUGAUCUGCCAUCCAGGCCUCAUUAGAGCUGUUUGCUGACUCUGAUUCAAAAAACUACCUCUUGUCCCUCUUCUAGAUGAGAGAAAGAAAAGACAAGACAGAUAUCAUAUUGGCUUAAAUGAUUUUUUUGAGUGCAGAAUGCCUGGGUUUCCAGAGUGAGUGCUCAGUGUACACCAUUUCCAGCUGCUCUGCAAUAGGCUUUAGCAGCUAGAAAUCUGCUUCAUUGUUGGUUGGAUAUGCUGAGACAUCAAAAAAACUGGGACUGAUUUUUGAUAGUAGUGUUGGGUUUUUUGCAUCAUGGUGCUGUAUCACUGCUUAGUUACUGUUCAUCACUGCAACCUCAAAUGGACUCCCUGAGAUGCUAUCACACGGUGACCCCAAGUCCACAGCAGGGAACUCCAUGGAGGCCUGGUCUGAAGCACUGGUGUGGCAGAUGUGGUAUACCAACGCUUCCUAUUCCUUGUCAGACAUGGUCUUACUGCUGGAGAGAAGUCCUCUGUUAUUGAUGUCACAUGGAGAUCUCAUCGACAACAUCAUAAAAACAGUGCUAGAAAAAGCCACAAAAUAUUGCAUAAAGUCCAGAAGGACAGAAAGUUGAAGGAGCUCUCUCAGGAGAUGCAUUUUUUUCACUGUUUUAUCAAACAGACCAUUGCUUUUCGGGAUUCCCAGGAUGUAAGGACAAGUUCAACUUGUGUCAUCCUUCCCAAUUUCCUUAGCUGAUGUGCAAUUUACAGUUGGAUGUGUCAUGUAAGUAGACACAGUACUUUGCAAAUGACUUCAUACAAAGUCCUUUCUAAGAGCUCCUGUGGGCAUUAUAAUAUAUAUGGUAAUACAGUCUCAUGUUUGAAUGGCAGCUAUGGCUGCAUCAGGAACCCUGUGCCAGGAACCCUGACCUCCCACAGCUCAGAUCUCACUUCUGAAUAUGCUACAAAAAUUGGUGCAUUUUAGUUGAAGCUCACUGCAUACACUGGCAGAGACAGCACAUUGCAUGUAGCACACUCAGAGAAGUUGCUUCUCUAUACAUCAGCU
rnacentral:lncRNA from 14 species